rnacentral:lncRNA from 1 species
AAAAUAGUAGCAGAAACAGCUAGCCAAGCAGGCAUUACAUUACAUUACAUUACAUAAAGGGAACAGUCCAGCAUAUGCUGCGCUGCUUGCUGACUAGAAACUAUGGUAAAUCUGAACCCCAGGUAGAUGUACCAUGAAGUGCACUGGAUAAGCAAACCUACAACACCAAAGCACAGAAAUGGCAUUAACAUUAGGCACACAAAUCAGCAGCACAUCAUUAAAAGAGCAGGAAACUUAUAAUUACCAUAUUCUGGUUUGUAUGUUUGCAGCUGACUAUGAAGCAAACAAGCAACUAGAUUAUUGAAACUAUGGUAAAUCUGAACCCCAGGUAGAUGUAACAUGAAGUGCACUGGAUAAGCAAACCUACAACACCAAAGCACAGAAAUGGCAUUGGCAUUAGCCACAUAAAUCAGCAGCACAUCAUUAAAAUAGCAGGAAACUUAAAGUUACCAUAUUCUGGUGUGUAUGUUUGCAGCUGACUCAAGCAACUAGAUUAUUGAAACUAUGGUAAAUCUGAACCCCAG